rnacentral:rRNA from 1 species
AUUGAACGCUGGCGGCAGGCCUAACACAUGCAAGUCGAGCGGAUGAAGGGAGCUUGCUCCUGGAUUCAGCGGCGGACGGGUGAGUAAUGCCUAGGAAUCUGCCUGGUAGUGGGGGAUAACGUCCGGAAACGGGCGCUAAUACCGCAUACGUCCUGAGGGAGAAAGUGGGGGAUCUUCGGACCUCACGCUAUCAGAUGAGCCUAGGUCGGAUUAGCUAGUUGGUGGGGUAAAGGCCUACCAAGGCGACGAUCCGUAACUGGUCUGAGAGGAUGAUCAGUCACACUGGAACUGAGACACGGUCCAGACUCCUAAGGGAGGCAGCAGUGGGGAAUAUUGGACAAUGGGCGAAAGCGUGAUCCAGCCAUGCCGCGUGUGUGAAGAAGGUCUUCGGAUUGUAAAGCACUUUAAGUUGGGAGGAAGGGCAGUAAGUUAAUACCUUGCUGUUUUGACGUUACCAACAGAAUAAGCACCGGCUAACUUCGUG